AACCCUUCAAGCUCAGCUUGGUGUUGGGUGCUUGUCCCGCCCCGCGCGGCGACUCACCUCAAAGUCAUUGGCAGCCCGCACCCGCCGGCCACGAGCGCAGCACAGUCGCGCCCGAGGCCACGCAGGGUCGGCUCUCCAGAAGCACACCCCAA
rnacentral:misc_RNA from 1 species